UACGUAGGGUGCAAGCGUUAAUCGGAAUUAUUGGGCGUAAAGAGCUCGUAGGCGGUCUGUCGCGUCUGCUGUGAAAACUCAGGGCUUAACCCUGAGCUUGCAGUGGGUACGGGCAGACUAGAGUGCGGUAGGGGAGACUGGAAUUCUCGGUGUAGCGGUGAAAUGCGUAGAUAUCGAGAGGAACACCUGCGGCGAAGGCGGGUUGCUGGGCUGACACUGACGCUGAUGCGCGAAAGCCAGGGGAGCGAACGGG
rnacentral:rRNA from 1 species